CACAACACAAGUAAUUCAAAACGACACAAAAAGCUUGCUGGGUCAGAAGGAAUACGAUGAUGUUAUCAUGGUUGUUUCAGAGUCACGACAUGGACCAAAGGGUUUGCCUCACCAAUAUACCCAGCCUCAACUCCAACCCCAAACCUAUCCCCGAGCUCUACAUAAUCCACCUCAGUAUUAUCUUUCGAACCAUGUCCGGUCAUCUGUCCAACCACCGGGUCACUCCCUAUGGCAAGCGCCAGCACCGCAUAAUGCAUUCUUGCCUUCACAACAUUUUCGAGCACCCAACAACCCUAGAAAAUAGGGGCAUGGAGGAG
rnacentral:lncRNA from 1 species